rnacentral:lncRNA from 1 species
CUGAACUGUAUGACUUUACCACUGUUUGUUUAUAAAGUCAUCUGUUGAUGGGCAUUUGGGUUGUUUCCAUUUAUGAUGUUUAUGAAUGAAGCUACUCUAAACAUUCUCAGUUGAUUUUUGUGUGAACAGAAUGUUUCAUUUCUCUUACCAUAAAUACCAAGGAGCUGGAUUGCUGUUGUCACAUGGGAAGUAUACAUUAAACAUCACCAGAAACUGUUUUCUAAAGUGGCUGUACCAUUUUCCAUUCUCAUCUGCAAUGUUUGAGAGCUCCAGUUGCUCACACCAUCCGUGAAAUGAUGAGAUGAUGACUAGCUCAGGUGAUGUUCAUGGAGACUAAAUGUUAACAGAAGAUGCUAAACCUCUGGCUUUCAUGGUCUACUAGGAAACACAGAUGAAUGAACAAGAGAAAUGACUCUUGGUAACAAAGAUUCUGGUGCUGAGAAACAAGAGUAUGGUAAAAGUAAGACUAUUAGUUUUCAACUGUUGGCCUAUGGACUUUACACAUGUGUAAUGAGAGAGAAUAAUGCCUUUUCAAUUUGCGAUGUUAUAGUCUCAUUCUUUUAUUUAAUGAGGAACAUUUUCCUUUGAAUGCCAGGUAAGACACAGAGAUUGUAAACUGAUUUCACCAUAGGUUGACAGUAUCCACUCACAGACAUGAAUAAAUGUGUUAAAGAAUUUAGUUCCUUUUCUGGAAUAUGGACUCUGUAGUCUCUGCAGUCUCCCUGCUGUUGAUUGAAGGUAAAAAUCACUUUUGUCUACACCACUGUCACUAAUGGGGUAGUGUCAGUUCUGGACUUAUGAGUAUGUUACCACUGAAUAUUUGUUCAGUGGGAUGAAGACAUUGUUUAUGUUAUCUGUAUAUUAUUUGAAUAUUUCAUUGGCUGGAGAAUGAUGCUUUAAGCCUUUUUGACAAGUAUUGGGUUGGCCAAAAUGUUCAUUUGGGUUUUUCUGUGCCAUCUUAUGGUGGGGAAAAAAUGAGCGAGCUUUUUGGCCAUCUCAAUAUCUGUAUUUUAAGGACCAGACAUUUCCACCUGAUUGUGAUCAAAAUGCCAAAUAAAGUCUCGCAUAGAAACAGGUUGCCUCCCAAUUGGAAUAUUUUAAAUGGUUUACCUGAAAAUCAGUAAUUCCACCCAACAAGUUAAUUUGUUCAAAUACUUGGAGAUACCCAACUUGGCAGAAUCAUUUCAAUAAAGUGCUACUUCAGAUUAGAUUGUCUACAACAAAGUAAUAAGCUAGGAUGAUUUAAGUUUAUGGAAAUGUUUUUCCUUUAAUUUUUCUAAGUCAAGAUGAUGUCUUCCAUGUCCUAUGAUUCUGAACUCUGAGAACACAACAGGAUUUUUGUCUAAGCACUAUUAGACAAAAUUAAUUUUUUUAAGGGAACAUUUGGCUUUGCCUAAAGGCAACCCUAUAGGUAGUUCUAUGUAUAGGUGGGCUAGCUCUGCCUUAGUAAGAAUACAAUUUAGGUCUAUGAAUUGUCAUCUAACAUGAUGUUAGCUUAGUUUUUAGCUUAUAAGAUACUGAAAGUAUAUGGGUUUCACUUUAAUCAAUAGCUUGAGAUAUCAGAAUUCUAGACAAUGCUUCUGAGAGCCCAACUUUGAAGUUACUGCUAUCCAGCUCCUGAUAAUGGUACAGUUGAGACAAUUGAUAUUUGAGAGAGAAUUAUGCUGCUACAUUCACUGUCAAUUCUUCUAGUUUCUUAUACUUCUAUCCCUAUACCAUGUUAGACACACAGAAGGCAAUGAGCCUCUAUUAGAUGAUUUUUCAUUGGAAGUACUUUCACUUGAG